GAUGAAGAACGUAGCGAACGUGCGAAACGUAAUGUGAAUUGCAGAAUUCAGUGAAUCAUCGAAUCUUUGAACGCAUCUUGCGCUCCUUGGUAUUCCGAGGAGCAUGCCUGUUUGAGUGUCGUGAAUACUCUCAACUUCAACCCUUUUUUCGGAAAGGGAGGAAGGUUGGACUUGGGUGUUUGUUGAAGUGCGAGCUUCGACUCAUCCUAAAUGCAUUAGCGAUCUGCCUCGAUCACACACAAUGUGAUAAUUAAAACUAAAGCAUUGUUUAAUGAUCAAGUCGAGACUGCUUCUAACUGUUGCAAGACAAUAACGUGCAUACAUUUGUGCAUGUCAUUUGACCUCAAAUCAGGUAGGACUACCCGCUGAACUUAAGCAUAUCAAUAAGCGGAGGA
rnacentral:misc_RNA from 1 species